rnacentral:rRNA from 1 species
GCUUGACUGUAUCUUGGAAUUGGGUUCGGGCUUUUCUUGCGCAGACUAGGUGGGAGGCUAUGAAGAUUUUCUUCUGGGAAAGUUGGAGCCAACAGUGAGAGACCACUCUGGAAAGGCUAGAAUCCUAAUGGUGAUCCUUGAAUCAGGACACUUGACAGUUUCAGGUGGGCAGUUUUUCUGGGGCGGAAGCCUCAUAAAAGGUAACUGAGGCGCGCAAAGGUCCCCUCAGUCUGGACGGAAAUCAGACAUUGAGUGUAAAGGCAAAAGGGGGCUUGACUGCAAGACCCACAAGUCGAGCAGGGGCGAAAGCUGGCCUUAGUGAUCCGACGGUGCCGUGUGGAGGGGCCGUCGCUCAACGAAUAAAAGUUA